CUUUUCUGAUCCUGGUGUACAUUACUGUUUUACAUUAUUUUAAAUGUGAUUAACUUAAAAUGUAGAAGUUAAAAGGCUUAUCCAUUCUCUUGUAUUACUGCCUAUGGGCUCAUAUCCUCUAUGCAGUGAUACAAGUGAAAGAUACAAACCCACUGAAAAGGGAUAAGAUUGAAAAGAUAACAGGGAAGAAUUGAGAUGAAGUGAGCAGGUCUCCAUGAGUACUUCUUUUAGAAAAGUUGUGUUCUGUUCCAGCUCAGUACCAAAAAAGCACAUGAUCUUGGAAGAGACAUCGCCUCCUUUGGACCUCAAAGUUCUCAUUUUUAAAAGGGAUACAGCACAAAAAUGCUUAUGAACUUUCCCAAGCUAUAUCAGUUUGUGAUUCUAAACCUCACUCAUAAGAUAGCAUGGACUCCUAGGAAGAAUAUUUGCAUUGAGAAGAGACCUUCAGAUGCUCACAGAUUAACACUGAUAAAAGAACACACAGUGAAUUGA
rnacentral:lncRNA from 1 species